rnacentral:rRNA from 1 species
AUUGAACGCUGGCGGCAUGCCUUACACAUGCAAGUCGAGCGGCAGCGCGGGGGCAACCCUGGCGGCGAGCGGCGCACGGGUGAGUAAUACAUCGGAACGUGUCCUUUCGUGGGGGAUAACCAGUCGAAAGAUUGGCUAAUACCGCAUGAGAUCUCACGAUGAAAGCGGGGGACCCGAGGGUAACUUCGGGCCUCGCGCGAUUGGAGCGGCCGAUGUCGGAUUAGCAGUUGGCGGGGUAAAAGCCCACCAAGGCGACGAUCCGUAGCUGGUUUGAGAGAACGACCAGCCACACUGGGACUGAGACACGGCCCAGACUCCUACGGGAGGCAGCAGUGGGGAAUUUGGACAAUGGGGGCAACCCUGAUCCAGCCAUGCCGCGUGUGUGAAGAAGG